rnacentral:rRNA from 1 species
GGUGAGUAACGCGUGGGAACAUACCCCUCGGUUCGGAAUAACUCAGGGAAACUUGAGCUAAUACCGGAUACGUCCGAGGUUUUAAUCGACCUCGGAGAAAGAUUUAUCGCCGGAGGAUUGGCCCGCGUCUGAUUAGCUUGUUGGUGAGGUAUUGGCUCACCAAGGCGACGAUCAGUAGCUGGUCUGAGAGGAUGAUCAGCCACAUUGGGACUGAGACACGGCCCAAACUCCUACGGGAGGCAGCAGUGGGGAAUAUUGGACAAUGGGCGAAAGCCUGAUCCAGCCAUGCCGCGUGAGUGAUGAAGGCCUUAGGGUUGUAAAGCUCUUUUACCCGGGAAGAUAAUGACGGUACCGGGAGAAUAAGCCCCGGCUAACUUCGUGCCAGCAGCCGCGGUAAUACGAAGGGGGCUAGCGUUGUUCGGAAUUACUGGGCGUAAAGCGCACGUAGGCGGAUCUUUAAGUCAGGGGUGAAAUCCCGAGGCUCAACCUCGGAACUGCCUUUGAUACUGGGGAUAUCGAGUCCGGGAGAGGUGAGUGGAACUGCGAGUGUAGAGGUGAAAUUCGUAGAUAUUCGCAAGAACACCAGUGGCGAAGGCGGCUCACUGGCCCGGUACUGACGCUGAGGUGCGAAAGCGUGGGGAGCAAACAGGAUUAGAUACCCUGGUAGUCCACGCCGUAAACGAUGGAUGCUAGCCGUUAGACAGCUUGCUGUUUAGUGGCGCAGUUAACGCGUUAAGCAUCCCGCCUGGGGAGUACGGUCGCAAGAUUAAAACUCAAAGGAAUUGACGGAAUCGAAUU